rnacentral:rRNA from 1 species
GACGAACGCUGGCGGCGUGCCUAAUACAUGCAAGUAGAACGCUGAAGGAGGAGCUUGCUUCUCUGGAUGAGUUGCGAACGGGUGAGUAACGCGUAGGUAACCUGCCUGGUAGCGGGGGAUAACUAUUGGAAACGAUAGCUAAUACCGCAUAAUAGCAGUUGUUGCAUGACAACUGUUUGAAAGGUGCAAUUGCACCACUACCAGAUGGACCUGCGUGGUAUUAGCUAGUUGGUGGGGUAACGGCGCACCAAGGCGACGAUACAUAGCCGACCGGAGAGGGGGAGCGGCCACACUGGGACGGAGACAGGGCCCAGACGCCUUCAGGAGGCAGCAAGAGGGAAUCUUCGGCAAGGGACGGAAGUCUGACCGAGCAACGCCGCGUGAGUAAAGAAGGUUGUCGGAUCGGAAAGCUCUGUUGUAAGGGAAGAACGAGUGUGAGAGUGGAAAGUUCACACUGUGACGGUAUCUUACCAGAAAGGGACGGCUAACUACGUG